rnacentral:rRNA from 1 species
AAGCGGCAACAGCUCAAAUUUGAAAUCUGGCUCUUUCAGGGUCCGAGUUGUAAUUUGCAGAGGGUGCUUUGGUGUUGGCGGCGGUCUAAGUUCCUUGGAACAGGACAUCGCAGAGGGUGAGAAUCCCGUAUGUGGUCGCCUGCCUUCGCCGUGUAAAGCCCCUUCGACGAGUCGAGUUGUUUGGGAAUGCAGCUCUAAAUGGGAGGUAAAUUUCUUCUAAAGCUAAAUACCGGCCAGAGACCGAUAGCGCACAAGUAGAGUGAUCGAAAGAUGAAAAGCACUUUGGAAAGAGAGUCAAACAGCACGUGAAAUUGUUAAAAGGGAAGCGCUUGCAGCCAGACUUGCCUGUAGUUGCUCGCCUGGGCUUUUGCCCGGGUUACUCUUCUGCAGGCAGGCCAGCAUCAGUUUGGGCGGUCGGAUAAAGGUCCCUUUCACGUAUCUCCCUUCGGGGUUAACAUAUAGGGGGGACGUAAUGCGACCAGCCUGGACUGAGGUCCGCGCAUCUGCUAGGAUGCUGGCGUAAUGGCUGUAAGCGGCCCGUCUUGAAACACGGACCAAGGAGUCUAACAUCUAUGCGAGUGUUUGGGUGUCAAGCCCGAGCGCGUAAUGAAAGUGAACGGAGGUGGGAACCCUUCGGGGCGCACCAUCGACCGAUCCUGAUGUCUUCGGAUGGAUUUGAGUAAGAGCAUAGCUGUUGGGACCCGAAAGAUGGUGAACUAUGCUUGAAUAGGGUGAAGCCAGAGGAAACUCUGGUGGAGGCUCGCAGCGGUUCUGACGUGCAAAUCGAUCGUCAAAUUUGGGCAUAGGGGCGAAAGACU